rnacentral:lncRNA from 1 species
GUCUCAUGAAGCAGAAGUCUUGAAGCAGCUUGCUGAGAAGCGGGAGCAUGAAAAGGAAGUGCUUCAGAAAGCCACUGAGGAGAGCAACUUCAGCAAAAUGGCAGAGGAGAAACGGACCCACAAAAUGGAGGCUAACAAAGAGAACCGGGAGGCGCAAAUGGCUGCCAAGCUGGACCGUUUGCGAGAGAAGGACAAGCACGUUGAAGAGGUGCGGAAGAACAAAGAAUCCAAAGACCCUGCGGACGAGACCGAGGCUGACUAAGGUGUUCCGAGAACUGACUUUCUC